CAGUAGCCGCGGUAAUACGGAGGGUGCAAGCGUUAUCCGGAUUUAUUGGGUUUAAAGGGUCCGUAGGCGGACUUAUAAGUCAGUGGUGAAAGCCUGUCGCUUAACGAUAGAACUGCCAUUGAUACUGUAAGUCUUGAGUAUAUUUGAGGUAGCUGGAAUAAGUAGUGUAGCGGUGAAAUGCAUAGAUAUUACUUAGAACACCAAUUGCGAAGGCAGGUUACCAAGAUAUAACUGACGCUGAGGGACGAAAGCGUGGGUAGCGAACAGGAUUAGAUACCCGUGUAGUCCCUGUCUCUUAUAA
rnacentral:rRNA from 1 species